rnacentral:lncRNA from 1 species
CCCACCCGCUUCGCGGGGUCACCUGUCUAAGCCUCAAGCCAGUCGGGCUCAGGGCCAUUUUCCCACGGAGUAAGAACCAGAACGCCAGCUGCCCCAGCGGCGCUCGCACCAUCCACCCUUGAAAUUGCCGUAGAAGAGACAGAAACUGAAAACCAUGGUUUCAGGCUGCUAAAAACCUAACAUGAAACAAAACAGAAGAACAACAACAACAAAAUAAGGUUGCUGACCAGAACUCAACAGUGAGGGAAUUUACCUCCUGCUUCAUGCAUGCAACAUCAAAAUAGAAGAGUGACCUAUGGGAUCCAUGGAGGAGCUGCUUCCUGAAUCUGUGUAAAGUAGAUCUUGCCGUGUGGGUAACUGUGACUGCGGUGGCCAUGAAGAGGCACAACUCAGACCUCGGAUCUCCUGCUGCAGAGAACAUUGACUGACAGCCCAGCAGCUCCUGUCUGGAUCUACCACCUGUUCACAAUUCUGAAAUACAUUCAACGCACACUUUCCUACUGAGAUUUCUAAAAUGGGACUUGGAAAACAGAAAAAUACUAAAGUGGGGUACUAUCAUCUAAAUCUCCAAAAAGGUCAUUCAACUCUGAUCCCUGUUUAAAGAGAGAAAAAAGGAAUAAAGGAGCCUUUGAAGGCAGAAUAUUGCUCACUCAUCUCUUUGAAAGGACCUCAGACUGCAGAGCAGAAGAACCACUGGCUACAUCAGCUGGGGCAGAGGGGGAUGAAGAGAACAUCAUGAUGCCUGCAAAAAAGUGGGCUCUGCAGGAUCUCCAGUCACCUCCCUUCCCUUCAGAUCCAGAGCUCUCUCUGGCUAGGACCUUCCAGAGUUCCAGAAUUUUUGUUCCACCUUCCAUUGCUCACUUCUAUUACUAUUACUAAGAUAUUCACAUGGAAUUCUGUGCAAACCAUUUUUUUUUUCUUUUGGUGCCCUCUUUGUUUUACUUCCUCUAUUGGGACUAAUGGCCAUCUGACUUGGGGGUCCUUUGUUUUUUGUGACAAACCACCCUCAGCAGAUUUCCUUGAGGUCCAUUUGCUCAAGGGCCUUAAAGCUUUUUGGAGUAAUACAGAGUAAGUUUCUAGACAGCCUCUUGUGCUCUGCAGUAAGCUAAAGUGGAAGAUUAAGAUGCCUGGUGUAUACUGUGUGUUUCCCAUGUAAUGGCAGAAAAGGAAUGGGGCUCAUUAGUUACUUUAAGGUGGCAGCAGCUACCUUAGAGAAGACUGCAUUGCUUGUACUGAUUCAAAAGAGCACCUAAUGAAGGGAAAAAGCAGAAAUAAGCCAAGACUUGAGCUGAGUGAUUCGUUGAAUCAGCCAAGGAUAAUGUUCUUCAGGCACUAUGCACAUGUCACUGAUCAGUAGCGCUUCUCUUAAGCUUCAACAGCACUCACUUCCCCUGUCUUGAUGAGGUGAGCAGCACAUUUAAUUUCAGCUCCUGGGGCCAUCUGCAAACCUCUACUCCAUUCCUCAGCUGUGUUUGCUCCUCUGUUCUCAGGGAGCAGCAUUUUCACUGGAUGCAAACUGUGAGGCACUGUCUGGGCAAGCAGAUUGGUUACUAAUGAGGAAACUGGCACUGACAGCCUUUUGGGUUCUGAUUGAAGAAAAGAGAUGUCUUCGCAUCAGAAUGGUUUAACUUUCAAUGUGGCAUAUCAACUGGUUGAAAUUAGGGAGAGAGAGAAAGAGAAAUUUAAUUGUCAGGCUGUGGUGCGUAGUGUCAAAGCUACCUAGAUUAUGAGAAAUACGUCUUUUCAACAGCUUAAAGGCCACAGCUCUCAACAUUUUUUCUGCAUGUACAACACAGACAGGAUCCAGAAAUCCCAGCCUAUAACUCUUGGUUCCGUCAAAUACUCAACAGAGAAAACAGAAGUAUUUGAUUGUGGUAUUAACUAUGAAAUGUUCCCUAUUAGCCAUAUGAUUCUAUUAGCUCAGCUCAUUCCUGUUAGAUUUAUAGAAACAUUAGAGAUAAUUGGAAUUAGAAGGGCCAAGAGAGACGAUCCAAUCCCAUAUAGAGAAAAGCAAGACCCCUGCUCUCACUGAAGAAGUUUUAAAAAUAAUUAAACAACAAACAAACAAAUUGAGGCCCAGAGAGAUGAAGUAAUUUGACUGAUGUAUUCCAUCAGUGACAGACCUGGGACUGGAGCUCCAUCUCAGCUCUCAGCCCACUAAGAACCCUGUUCAUGGUGCCAUACUAGCAACCCCCUUCCUGUAGGAGUCUUUGAGAGUCAGAAUGACUUCUUGACUGAGAGGUACAUGUCUCUAGGAUAAGGACAAUUGAGGGGAUAAUGAGGAAAGAAAUAAUGUAAGUUAACUAUAUUUUGCCACAUGCCCUCCUCUCUCCAUGAAUCCAGGAUGUUGACCCAUAUCCAGCAUCCAUUGUGGGACUAAGUCUCGGACACCAAGGACUUCUAAGGAGCCUGCUCCAAUCUGAAAUGACUGUGGGGGAGCUGGCCAUUCCCCGAGCCAUUCUUGGAAUAUUGGGCCACAGGGGCCACUGGGGAGCAUGUAUAGGUAGGGGCGGCUUUGAUAUAAGCCUAGGUAUUCAAUUCUUCAUGGGACCCCCAAUGCUACCCCAAGUCUGCACCUUGAUUCCCAAAUACCCAAGAGAGACAAAAUGUCCUACUUUCUCUCUGAAGUUCUUCUAAUGUUGGAAGACCUAGGGUGGAGGCAAACCUUUCAGAGAAUUUCUGCUGGGAUUUAAAUGUAUGUCUAGCUGGCUUUAGACAUUAGAAGACUGUAAUAUGUACCUUAAUAAGUUGCCUUUCCCAUGGUGUUUGUUAUCCUCAGAAGACCCCCAUAGUGACUCUAGGAGACAAUUCUCAUAUCUUCUGAACUGUGCAUGUUCAUAGUUUUUCUGAGCAGGGUUUGCAUCUAGCAGCGAUGGAGGUAUAGGAGGUCACAGGCAACACUGCGUGCCUCACACAACAUUGUAGAUCAAGACACAGUUAAAUGGGCUGGCAAUUCUGAGUUUCUGAGUCCAGUCCCAUGACUAGUAUAGCUGUCAGAACUAGAGGGGCCAACCCUGGGAAUCUUGGAGAUGCUUUAUGAAUAUAUGAGAUUUCAGGCAUCCAAGCUCUUCUAUUUGUUUACAUGUAUUCUCAAUGUCUAUCUCCCAUUAUCAAAUCUAUUCCAAAAGUAUUUUUUCAACACUUGCUGGAGACUCUUGGAUAAAGCUAGUAAACGUGCUUUUAUUAAGCUCCAACUCUGUGCUGACCACUUAUACAUAUAUUGUCUCAGUUGCACUCAAAAUGCUAUUGUGUGUUAGGGUUCUUUCUUACAGAUUUUGAAACAGUGUCUUGGAGAGGUUAGGUGAAUUGCUCAAAAGACGCAGCAAGCACAGAGCUGUGACUUGGUCCUGUCUUAUCUGCUUUGGGGUUAUGGGUAGUUUAUCUUUAUAUGCCUAUUUUAACAGUAGACCCUCAACCACUGAAAUUGACAGGAAAAAGUAUGUGGUUGUUUUACCAAACAAACAAACAGACAAAAAACCAAACCCACCAAACCUGAAAUUUUUGGUUUGGUCAACAUUUUAAUUCAACUGUACUCAAUGUAUUAACAAUGGUGAUUUGAUAUGAUGGAUGUAAUUGAUAAUCAAUGCAGUGCCAUUUAUAGACUGCCUAAAAGUGCAUUGUACAUCAUUUUGACAACAUAUUUACCUGCAUUGUUUGGGCAAAAUGAAUUUUAAAAUUAUUUUUUGUUUCCUAAAUUUGUAUCAAUUGAAAAAAAAAAAGUCAUCUGGGUAGCAGACAGAAGUCAGCCUGGGACUACAGUGGGUCAUAACCCUGAGGAUUCAAAUGUGGGCAAUGGCAACAACAUCAGCGACUAAAGCUGUCAGUGGAGAAAAGAAGAAAGCACACGCCAGCCACCCUGCAGAACAAUGCAGUUCUUUCAGAGUCACAUAGUCCUAAAUCUGGAAACCAUCACAGCUGAGAGGAUAAGCUUUGGAACCCGAUAGUGGUCUAAAACUAGGCUCUGCCUGCCAUGGACAAACUACAAGAGACUGGGAAGUGAGUUAAACCUGAGCUAAAUCCCAGUUUCCUUCUCUGCAAAACAGGGAGUGGGGACAGUGGAAUAACACCUCCCUCAUAGAACUGUUGGGAGGCAUAAAUGACCCUCAGCACAGGGUGGUGUGUAUGGAAUGUGCAUCAUAAGUGGCAGCUAUUUUGAUAAUUACUAAACAUGAUGAAUGAUGAUAAGCGAAAUAAUAACACAGCUUUUCAACAUUUUCACUCAAUAAGUUAAAUUUAUAAUAGGCAAGCAAAGGAGUUUCCAGAAUUAAGCAUCUGAUGGGAGCUUAGACAGGUUGACUUUUACAGCUCAUUCUAACCCUGAGUGAGGGUCUGUGAUUUUAUAAGCCCUUUUAGGGUUCGAGUGCUACUUCUAAUCAAGAUCCUGGUAUCAUGUUUUUCUCCAUUACGUGGAACAAUAAUGAAUAGAUAAAUAAAAUAUAACUGGGAAAGGAGAACACAGAUUGAACACAUGCAUUUAUCUCCACUCUUGUCCAAAACCUCACAGUAAAAUAAUUUAAAAUACAUGAACCUAUAAGAACAAGAGAGGGGAGAUAUGAUGAAAGAGAAAACCAAAAUUUUGGAAGUUGGAAAAAAAUGGAAGGCUGGUUAGCCAAUUAGGGACAGUAGAAAGCUGCAUAUCUGUAAGGCACAUGCUGCCAAGAGAGAAAAGCAAGGCAAUUUGGAUGUGGAACCUCAGACAGGCUUAGAAUAGGAAACAGAUCCAUGAGUCAUGACACUGUGGUUGAGAUUUCUGCUUUAGCCAUUCCAGCGUAUGCUUGUUUUUCCCUAAAAGUCUUUACUCAUUUGUUUUCUCUCUUCCGCCCAGUGAACAUCUACUCAUUCUUCAAAACCCAGAACUGUUGUUGUUUCUUGAAAAAUGGAGAUUAUUCCAAAGUUCUUUUAGCCUUUGCAAUGUGAAGGCAUGUGUCAGGGUUGGGAGGAGUUGGGGAACAGCACCUCUUUCUUUUAACGUCCAAUUGAUUGAGGCCAAUGGGUCAUCCUGCCUCCUUCCCUAAAUAUUCCUGAGAAUGCUCAGAGAGGGCCCACAUGUUCCCUAAGUCCAUUCUGGUUACCCUGUGUGCCUUCUUGCUCUGGUCUGCUGCUCCCAGCUUCUUCACGAUCACUUGUGAUCAUUUGCUAGCCUUUUUUUAGUCCAUUUUACUCCAAAGCAAGAAUACAGUACUUGCUCCUUACUCUCCAAUGCUUACCAAUGCAACAACAAGAGGUAAUAGUAUUUAACAAAUUUUGAUACGGAGGAAAGGAAAACCUAAAAUAAGGUACCAUGUAUCACUAUUCCUGAAUUCUGUCAUCAUGUCCCUUUAAAGGCAGUGCUCUAUAGGUUCCGUCUCUCCUGUGGCCCCAGCCUGCUGCCACUGGAACAAGGGUCCAGGGUUCUUAAUGCACGGAAGUCUUCAUCUUAUCCCCCACAAAUCUACAGCCAAAAGAAGGAAAUACCCAUUGAUGACACGAUAGACAAUAUAACAGUUGACAAGAUAAUUGAUACAGCGUGCCCAAUGUGAAGAGAGAAUUUGUCACGGCUAGAGUAGUGAACCUUCUCCAGGUGAACCAUCUGCCGUUGGAAGCUUCCUUUUGUCCAGGGCUCCUGCAAGGCCAGUGAGUAGGUACUUCUAUCUACACAUGACUGAAAAAGACUUACCAAAACCAAUAUAUUCCCAAGGAUACUUUCUAAAUUCUACCCAAGGAGCAGAUGCUGCUCACAAUUCUCUAAAACAAGGUCUUUUUUUUUUCAACCCCAGAUAUAUCAAGAAUGGGACACAAUCUCCGAGGAAGAAAUUGUCAGCAUCUAUCUUGAAAAUAUCUUUGGUUUCCCAUUACAUUUCGGAUUUCUCUAGACCAUAUUUGUAGUUCCCUUUUUGGUGUUCCCAUUCUUGUAAGUUUAUAUAAACAGCAAUAAGACUAUAGCUCUUCUCACAGGAUACUUUGUUAUUUCUUAAUGGGACUGUCUGUCCUGUAGGCUAUGAGCUAUUUGAGGGCAAAGAAUAUUCUAUUCAUCUUUAUAUUCCUGGCACAUGGUAGGCACUCAGUAAUGCUGCUGCUGAAUUGAAUCGGCUGUGGGAAAAAAACAAAUGCUUCUCCUCAGUCAGCAUUUGUUUUCUAGGAUCUAUUCCAAUAUAUUUCCAACAAAAAUAUGAGAUUUAAAAGAUAGGCAGAGAGUGAAUUGAACUGAAUAUUGCACAAAAACUCCUUGUCUUUAAAGGUGGAAACAAAAUCCACCACCUUCCCAAGAUAGCUGUUCUGUCUCACAUCUUCUUGAAGCAAUGAAAUGAUGAGUACUGUGAUCAGAGAGGACCCUCAGAAAAUAAAUAAAAACCCAGCUCUACAAAUGCAGCCGUAAGCCAGGAGGAUAUGACGAAGGAUAUCAUUAUCAUCCUGAUAUUUUUAGAAGUUCUUUGGUGACAGGUCAGAUUUUUGAGAAUCAGAAAAUGAUAAAAAUAAUCUUGUUAUUCCACAAAGGAGGCUCUAUAUAUAUCAGGCCGAUUUUGAACACUGCCUGAGAAUGUUGAGAAAAUAUUUUUAAAUGUUAGUGAAAUGAUAGGCUUUGGGGGCAGACCCAGCCUCGCUUUAGAAAAAGCUUUAUCGUGGGGGGAUUGAGAGAUUUUAGUGAUGUGAGCAUUGUAAAGAAUCAGCAGUGAGUGGGUGUAAGUUUUUGUUUUCCAAUUUUCCAGAGGAGGGUCCACCUGGGAAGAAUUUCAUGAAAUUUACAGAAAUCUGAAAAUUGCUUUUGAAGCUAUUACAGGUACCUGGGGAGUCCUCCUUGGCCCCACAGGCUGACUACACUAUCCAGAUCUUAAGGGACUCUCAUCUUUCCUAACUUCUAGGUUGCAGGAUUCUGCAGAAUUACUUCUGCAGCUUCCAUUUGUAGCUAUUGCUAAGUGGACCCAUAGCUAUAUGGGAUGUGGGGCUCUGGAUUUCAGGUAGAAAUGACCCUUUGUUUAUUUGAGAUGUUUGCUUCUUUAAAUACUCAGCCAUCUGACUCUCUAAUUGUUUAGGAUUAGUCAUAAGUUAAGUAGGACAGGGAAGAUGUUAUAAAUAGUUUAUUGCAUAUCCAUUCAAGAAAUUUAGGCUAAGUUUAUAUAUUUUACCUUCUGAAAGGAGAAAGCCUGUGUGUUUAUUUAAAGCAUUGUAGAUUUUUUCUCAUUUAGAAUAUAUGAGUCUAGUAUAAAAAUUGAUUCUAGAUGAUUUAUAUGUAAGUUGCUCUUUUCUUCAUACUUAUUUUGCUACCUUUUUAUUUCAUGUUUUUUCUUAAGUAUGACUUUGAGCCUUUAAAAGUAUUUCCUUUAUGUCUCUUUUGAAUAUCAAAAACAACAUGAAUUAAAAAUAGAAGUCUACAUAUCAA